GUUUUUGAGCCCAAGGAACAAGUAUUUAGUCAUGAUUGCCACUCGUUAUAGGCUCUGUUAACAGUGUAAAGAAAGUUGGAAGUUCUCUCCUGAGAAGAAGUAACUUCAAUGCGGAAGGACCCGGGCUUCUCAUGUUUCUCUUUGUAUCCCGACCGCCGGGAACUGCCUUACCUGCAGCUACAAAGUCCUGCAAGUGAGGCUUAGGCCCAGAUCUUGUGAACUGUUUUCACAUUUCCCCAUGGAUGCCUAGCAAGGGACUGGGACUGCCUGAUCCGCUUUGGUCAAGAGCACGUGGGUGGCCUGUGUGCAGGCUUAUCAUCAAUAAUUGCAGGACUUGGUGGAGUAUGGUUGAACAGGUGCUCAGACUGCAUGCGUGUCUAGCGAGGCCAUCCUGAAGCUGCAUGGGAGUUGUAAAAAAGUUACCAACAAGUUUUUAGUUAUUUGAAUAGGUUUUUGAAUAGAUUUGGAAUGUGGGAAGCAGUUGCAGAAAUAAACGUCUUAAUGACUAAAU
rnacentral:lncRNA from 1 species